AAAAGAUCAUCAGCACUGAUCCGUUUCCCUGCACGUCACACUAAACGCUGAAGCACAGGGUGGCGGAUCAGGAGUCCCUGCAGCACAUGUGAUCGCUCUGACAGGCUGUCAGAGCAAUCACAGCUGCAGGGACAGCGAGUUCGAGGUAAUCUGAAGUUAACUUUAGUAAAUGAUGGACAUUUUCUGUCAUGCGUCCUUAACGGGAGGACAUGC